rnacentral:rRNA from 1 species
GACGUAGGGGGCAAGCGUUGUUCGGAUUCAUUGGGCGUAAAGGGUGCGUAGGCGGCGCGGUAAGUCGGGUGUGAAAUCUCGGAGCUUAACUCCGAAACUGCAUUCGAUACUGCCGUGCUUGAGGACUGGAGAGGAGACUGGAAUUUACGGUGUAGCGGUGAAAUGCGUAGAUAUCGUAAGGAAGACCAGUGGCGAAGGCGGGUCUCUGGACAGUUCCUGACGCUGAGGCACGAAGGUCAGGGGAGCAAACGGG